AUGCUACGGUUAGCAGGUUAUCGAUCCUCCAUCGCCGCCGAGAAGCGCCGCCGCCGUCGCGUCCUCAUGGAUAAUGGCGGCCUACGCCGCCGCCUCAAACCAAGCGGCGCCAUGGAGGGGAAAGGUUCCGCGAAGAAGGCAAGGACGACUACAUCUCCAGAGGAGGAAGCAGUGCCGGCGGCGGCGGCGGCGGCGGCCAGCCUCCUGACGGACGACCUCAUCUUGGAGAUCCUCUCCCGCCUUCCAGCCAGGUCCGUCCACCGCUUCAAGUGCGUCUCCCCGGCCUGGCGCGACCUUAUCGCCGACCCCGCCCACCGCAAGAAGCUGCCCCAUCCCCUCGCCGGUUUCCUGUACAACACCUACCACAGGCCGGACCCCCGCUUCUACAACUUUCACUUCGCCAAAGUCUCCGGCGCCGCAGCCCCGCCGGUGGACAUGUCCCUCUCUUUCUUGCCACCCGACGAGUAUUGGUAUGUCGACCAGCUGGACACCUGCAAUGGCCUCCUCCUCUGCCGCGCCCACAUGCUCCCUUCUUCUCCUUCCGGGGACGAGAAUACGCCGGUUGAAUCCCAUUACAUCGUGUGCAAUCCGGCCACCGGGAGGUGGGUCGACCUCCCCCCUCACCCCGAGGUGCCACCCGGCAGUCGCAUCUUCGCUCGCUUGGCUUUUGAUCCAGCAGUCUCGUCCCAUUUCCACGUGCUUCAGUUUAAGGACAGCCAGCAGAAGGAAUAUGUCACAGGAGUGAACAUCUACUCUUCUCAAACCGGGGCAUGGAUUUGUAGAGAGAGCCGCUUGGUUGAGAAAAUUAGCCUGUUCACUGGCCUCGCAAAGUGUCUUCUUUCACGGUAUGCUGGACUUGCUUGGGUUACUGUAUCCCAUGAACAUGGAGGAUGA
rnacentral:rRNA from 1 species